UGUUGUAUUUGUUUCGUUAUAUCAUCAAAAAUUAUGGUGUCUGUUUGUUACGAAUAUUCUAUUUUAUAAGUGUUAUAAGUAAUUUUUUAUUAUGUUUAAUUUUAUGCAAUUUUUUGCGACAGUGUAAUACUUUUUUAUUGAUCUAAUAAAAUUAUAAUAUGUAUAAGGUCAUAAUUAAAGCUUUUAUUUAAACAUAUAUAUAUAAAAAACUCAGUAUUUCUACAACAUUUUCAAAAGUUAAAUUGAAAAAGUUCUACUUUUUAUGUGUAUCAUUCAAGUUUUAAACGCCCCCUAAAUAAAGGGAAAUUGUCAGAUUAAAAAAAAAGUAUACCGGAUGAAACGGACUCCAGAAUUAUCAUCUUUAAAACCAAGAGGAAGUAAAAUGUUACUGCAGCGACGCAGUACUUAUGACUCUAUAACAACAGUUGAACCAAUUAAAAUAAGUGAAAAAAAAAGUAUCAUCCAACAGCCCGAAGUUAAAGAUCCUAUAAAAUCUGUUGAUCAGAAAAGUGAUAGCCGCGAGCUCAUGAAAGUAAAUAUUCAUGAAGAAAAACUUGAAAAAAAACCACAAUUACUUCAACAGACUCAAAAAACGGAAAAUAUUAACUCACAAUUAAUUAAAGAUACGUUUGGCCUUUUAUCAGAACAGCUUAACUGUAAUAAAAAAAAUUCUGAAAAGCCGAAUAUUCCAAAUAACAUUUUCAAGGAAAAUACUUUUUUACUUUCUCCUUUAAAACCCAGUAACAGUGAGAUAACAAUUCAAUCAUCCAAAAGUCCAACAAAUGAACUAAUAAAAGACACGUUUGGACUUUUGUCUGAACAACUUAAAAAUGAUAAAAUAAACGUUCCAGAAAAAAUAAACACAAAUAACAGUCUUAAAGACUUAAAUCGGUUACUUUCUACGAUUGAUCUAUGUGAAUUUAAACCACAACAGCAGAACUCCAUACAUGCAUUUACUAAAAACACUAGAUUAAAUAAAAAAAAUAAAAAAUCACUAUUAAAAAUAUCUGGUAGAACAGCAAAAAAACAUAAUAAAGCCGUUUAUAAAGAGAGAAAUAAUAAUGGAAUGCUUAAGAAAAUAUUUAAUAUGGAUAAAUUAGAUAGCACAACUACUAAAUUAAUAACGGCUACAUUUAAACCAUUAUCAGAACAAUCUAAGCUAAUUACAUUAAAUUCACCAAAGGCUGCAGAUUCCACAGGAUGUCUAAAGGAUUUAGCGAAAUUCCUUUCAUCAGUAGAAAAACAUGGAAAUAGAACAAAAACAAAAUUGGAAAAUUAUUUUAACACUCCACAAAUAAUGAAAUCGAAGAAAAUAAAUACAUUUAAGACAUCGAAAACCUCAUUAAAUAAAUUAAAUUAUAAUGACGAAAAUACAAAAAAACUUGAUAAGAGUACAUCAGAAACGACCGCAAAGGUUUUAAAGGAAACAUUUGCACCUUUCCACAUGUCAUUGGGAUUAGGACCAGAUCCUAAUGAAAACCAAGAAAGUAGCUCACAUGUAAAAUGUUUGUCGGAUGGUAUCGAUCGAACACCGUUUGUUGAUAGGCAGAGUGCAAUUUUGGUUGCUAAAAAGUCAAAUCGACCGAUUUGGAAAACUUGUCUGAAUAACGAUAGAAAUUGGAAGAAUAAACGGAAAAAAUUUAUAGAUAAUACGAUAACAGAGAAAUCAUUUAACGAUCUGGCGGAGAAAAUACAAUCAAAACCAAUAAACAUAAUAAAAAAGCAACAGCAUAGUAGAUUGAAAUCUACCUCAUCAAUGGAUGAUUUAUUAUUUAUUCCUCCAAAAACUGCAAAAAAAUUUUAUUACUCUGCAAAAAUUGAAGAAUCUUAUCAACCAAAUCCAAAUCCUGUAAUUAAAGUUCCAAUUCGAUCCUCGCAAGCUAAACAGACUCCAUUACCAUACUGGAUGGAACAAGUUAAUAUGGAUGAACUUGAGAAAUCUUUAACGAAAAAGCCCAAAUGGAAAAAUUUAUGGAAGAAAAUUAAAAAAUACGGGUGGUUUUUAGAUUCAAUAAAAAGCAAAAAUAUGUUUUUUCCAUUCAAGUUUGGAAAUGUGACAGUCUUAAAAACAAAAAAGUCUAAUCCAAAAAACCUUGAUAAUGAUACUAAAAACUAUAAAAAAAAAGUAUACAAGGAGAAAGAAAAAUCUCAUUCCACAAAUAAUUCUAAUAAAGAAGACAAUCGAUUUUGGACUACAGACGUUUACAAAAGAAAACCAAGAGAAAUCCAUAAAAGUAAAGGAAAACUGCGAGGUUCAAAUAUAAGCAAACCUUUGAUGAAACUAAAGAAACCAAAAUUUAUUGUAGCAAAACCAUCUUUGACAAUUCGUAAAAGAAAGAAAAGCCAAAUAAAACCGCUUUCUAUGGUAAUGGAAACAAUUAGUUAUAACCAAGAAAAGAAUAUUCGGCAAAUGUAUCCACCUUUAAAAACAUACAGGAAAAAUGGUGAUAAGAUUUCAGAAGAAAAAAAACCUAAGACUGUGAAAUCAACAGAAAAUUCAAUAAUAACACAAAAAGUCAAAGAAAUAAAACCCACAGAAGUAAUAAUUUUGAAUCAUGCAGCUAACGAUGAAGAUAAUCAAAAUAAUUGUGAUAAAAAUGAUUGGUCAAUUUUACCAGAAGAUAUGGAAAAUGAAUGGAAAGAAUUUCAAAAAACAAAAUGCCAAUCAGAUUUAAACAAGGUUCAUUCCUGUGUUAAUGAAUUCUAUAAAGAAGUAGAGGAGUAUCCAAUACCUAAGAAAUUGGAACACGAUAAGAAGAAUAACAUCAUAUAUGGAUGGGCAAUGUCGCAAUACUUGCCUAAAGAUGGGUUUAAAUGGAGCGAAAAAAAUUUAAGUGUUCCGGAAGUUUUAAAGAGAUUGGAAGAAACACCAGCUGAUUCGUGUAAAGGGAUGAUAUUAGAAGUUGAUGUUUCUUAUCCGACGCAAUUGCAUGAUAAUCAUAAUGAUUUACCAUAUUUACCUGAUAAAAAAAUACCAACUGGAUCUAAAUUUCCCAAACUUUUAACCACAUUGGAAUAUAAAAAAAAAUAUAUUGUACACUAUAAAUCUUUAAAGCAAGCGUUACAGGCAGGAUUAGUUUUAGAAAAAGUACACCGUAUUAUUGAAUUUAAUCAAUCACCUUGGCUCGCAAGUUACAUUUCUCUGAAUACAAGGAUGAGGGCGAUGGCGAAAAAUACUUUUGAAAAAGAUUUUUACAAACUUAUGAACAAUUCCGUGUUUGGUAAAACGAUGGAGAACGUUCGCCUAAGAUUGAAAAUGGAACUUACUAGCAGCGAGGCAAGAUACAGAAAACUUGUCAAUUUACCAAACCAUAAAGGCACAACAAUAUAUGGUGACAACUUGUGUGCUGUACAUUUACAUAAAGACGAUUUAGUUUUUGAUAAGCCCAUGUACAUAGGAUUUGCCGUUUUAGACAUAUCUAAAACUCUAACGUAUGAUUUUCACUAAAGCGUUAUAUGGAGAAAACAUUGAACUCCUAUACAUGGACACUGAUUCAUUGAUAUACCUGGUGAAAACAAAAAAAUUUUAUGAGGAUAUAGAACAUAAUCGAGGGUUUGGAAAAACUGGAUACUUCAAACUAUCAUGUUAACCAUCCAUGUUACCGUACAGAGCGUUGCAAGAUUCCAGGCACUUUCACAGACGAAACUGGUGGAGAGUUUAUUUCAGCACAUGUUGCUCUAAGAUCUAAAGCAUACGGUUUUAUUCAAAAUACUAAAGAAAUUAUCAAAGCCAAAGGCGUGGCCCAUCAUGCCGUAAAAAACCAUAUAAUAUUUGAAAAUUAUAAACAGUGUCUUUUUCAGGGAAUAAUCGAUUUACCCGAAGAUUAUACUCCUUAUAGAGAAAUGCGAUCCUUUAGAUCGUACAAACACCAAAUUAAGUCGAUUGAUAGCACAAAGCUAGCGUUAAAUAGGUACGACGAUAAAAGGGUUGUGUUAAAGGAUCAAAUUCAUACAUUAGCAUAUGGACACUACAAAAUUGAGAGUUUGAAAAAUCAAGGCGGAUUGGCAAAUUUCUGUAUUUAAUCAUACUUUGUAUUUAUGUAAAUAAUUGUAAUUCUGUUUUUAAAUUGAAUGUUAAAAAUAGCUCAUUUAUUUAGAGCUUUUUCUAAAAUAUGUUAAUUAAACUUAAUUUACUUCUGUUUAUGUAAAUAAAUAGCUGCCAUGUUAUGUAAUUAUAUUUUUAAUUUUUUUUUUUGAAUUUACAUGUUUAAUAAUAAUUUUUACGCUUUAUAUUGUUAUCAUACAUUAUACUAUUAAUUGUAAAUUAAUCGAUUAAUAAACUGUU